rnacentral:rRNA from 1 species
AGAGUUUGAUCCUGGCUCAGGAUGAACGCUGGCGGCGUGCUUAACACAUGCAAGUCGAACGAAGCACUUUAUUUGAUUUCCUUCGGGACUGAUUAUUUUGUGACUGAGUGGCGGACGGGUGAGUAACGCGUGGGUAACCUGCCUUGUACAGGGGGAUAACAGUUGGAAACGGCUGCUAAUACCGCAUAAGCGCACAGCAUCGCAUGAUGCAGUGUGAAAAACUCCGGUGGUAUAAGAUGGACCCGCGUUGGAUUAGCUAGUUGGUGAGGUAACGGCCCACCAAGGCGACGAUCCAUAGCCGACCUGAGAGGGUGACCGGCCACAUUGGGACUGAGACACGGCCCAAACUCCUACGGGAGGCAGCAGUGGGGAAUAUUGCACAAUGGGCGAAAGCCUGAUGCAGCGACGCCGCGUGAGCGAAGAAGUAUUUCGGUAUGUAAAGCUCUAUCAGCAGGGAAGAUAAUGACGGUACCUGACUAAGAAGCACCGGCUAAAUACGUGCCAGCAGCCGCGGUAAUACGUAUGGUGCAAGCGUUAUCCGGAUUUACUGGGUGUAAAGGGAGCGCAGGCGGUGCGGCAAGUCUGAUGUGAAAGCCCGGGGCUCAACCCCGGUACUGCAUUGGAAACUGUCGUACUAGAGUGUCGGAGGGGUAAGCGGAAUUCCUAGUGUAGCGGUGAAAUGCGUAGAUAUUAGGAGGAACACCAGUGGCGAAGGCGGCUUACUGGACGAUAACUGACGCUGAGGCUCGAAAGCGUGGGGAGCAAACAGGAUUAGAUACCCUGGUAGUCCACGCCGUAAACG